AGCGUAUAUUAAAGUUGUUGCAGUUAAAAAGCUCGUAGUUGAAUUUCGGGGUCAGUAGGUCGGUCGUGCCACUGGCAUGAACUGGUUUUACUGAUUCCUCCCUCUUGAAGAACUGUAAUGCCAUUAAUUUGGUGUUGCAGGGAAUCAGGACUGUUACUUUGAAAAAAUUAGAGUGUUUAAAGCAGGCUUUAGCUUGAAUACAUUAGCAUGGAAUAAUGAAAUAGGACGUUUGAUCCUAUUUUGUUGGUUUCUAGGAUUGACGUAAUGAUUAAUAGGGAUAGUUGGGGGCAUUAGUAUUCAAUUGUCAGAGGUGAAAUUCUUGGAUUUAUUGAAGACUAACUACUGCGAAAGCAUUUGCCAAGGAUGUUUUCAUUAAUCAAGAACGAAAGUUAGGGGAUCGAAGACGAUCAGAUACCGUCGUAGUCUUAACCAUAAACUAUGCCGACUAGGGAUCGGAUGAUGUUAAUUUUUUAAUGACUC
rnacentral:rRNA from 1 species